UACGUCGGCAGCAAGCGUUGUUCGGAGUUACUGGGCGUAAAGGGUGCGUAGGCGGCUUUUUAAGUUUGGUGUGAAAUCUCCCGGCUCAACUGGGAGGGUGCGCCGAAUACUGAGAGGCUAGAGUGUGGGAGAGGAAAGUGGAAUUCCUGGUGUAGCGGUGAAAUGCGUAGAUAUCAGGAGGAACACCGGUGGUGUAAACGGCUUUCUGGACCAUAACUGACGCUGAGGCACGAAAGCGUGGGUAGCAAACAGG
rnacentral:rRNA from 1 species